AUUAAACGCUGGCGGCAUGCCUUACACAUGCAAGUCGAACGGCAGCACGGGGGCAACCCUGGUGGCGAGUGGCGAACGGGUGAGUAAAGCAUCGGAACGUGCCCUGGAGUGGGGGAUAACGUAGCGAAAGUUACGCUAAUACCGCAUAUUCUGUGAGCAGGAAAGCAGGGGAUCGCAAGACCUUGCGCUCUGGGAGCGGCCGAUGUCGGAUUAGCUAGUUGGUGGGGUAAAGGCCUACCAAGGCGACGAUCCGUAGCGGGUCUGAGAGGAUGAUCCGCCACACUGGGACUGAGACACGGCCCAGACUCCUACGGGAGGCAGCAGUGGGGAAUUUUGGACAAUGGGCGAAAGCCUGAUCCAGCCAUGCCGCGUGAGUGAAGAGGGCC
rnacentral:rRNA from 1 species